UGGUCUCAGUGCCUCACCCCCAGAUCUGCAUCGGAAUGUAGAAAAGAUCCUUUUUUUUUUUUUUUUUUAAAGAAAAAAAGUUUUGAAUUCCUCAAUGAUUUUUCUUCUGGAAAGGCAGCUUAGGAUAAUUAUUUCAGCUUUAUUGAGGGCAGAUUAGUUGAAGUCUGGACGCUGCGUUUUCAAUACACGUUGUACACGGGCCGACAAUGUGG
rnacentral:lncRNA from 1 species